AUUGAACGCUGGCGGCAGGCUUAACACAUGCAAGUCGAGCGGGGACUUCGGUCCUAGCGGCGAACGGGUGAGGAAUGCUUGGGAAUCUGCCCAGUAGCGGGGGAUAACGUUUCGAAAGGAACGCUAAUACCGCAUACGCCCUACGGGGGAAAGGGGGGGAUCUUCAGACCUCUCACUAGUGGAUGAGCCCAAGUCGGAUUAGCUAGUUGGUGGGGUAAAGGCCUACCAAGGAGACGAUCCGUAGCUGGUCUGAUAGGAUGAUCAGCCACACUGGAACUGAGACACGGUCCAGACUCCUACGGGAGGCAGCAGUGGGGAAUAUUGGACAAUGGGCUAAAGCCUGAUCCAGCCAUGCCGCGUGUGUGAAGAAGGCCUUCGGGUUGUAAAGCACUUUAAGCGAGGAGGAAUGGCUGAGGGUUAAUAACCUUCAGCAGUGACGUUACUCGCAGAAUAAGCACCGGCUAACUACGUGCCAGCCGCCGCCGAACAC
rnacentral:rRNA from 1 species